UACGGAGGGUGCGAGCGUUGUCCGGAAUCACUGGGCGUAAAGGGCGCGUAGGCGGCUUCUCAAGCGUGUGGUGAAAGUCCGGGGCUCAACCCCGGAUCGGCCGUGCGGACUGGGGAGCUCGAGUUCUGUAGAGGCGGGUGGAAUUCCGGGUGUAGCGGUGGAAUGCGUAGAGAUCCGGAAGAACACCGGUGGCGAAGGCGGCCUGCUGGGCAGUAGCUGACGCUGAGGCGCGACAGCGUGGGGAGCAAACAGG
rnacentral:rRNA from 1 species